rnacentral:lncRNA from 1 species
CGAUUAGAUGGGAAAAAACAUAAGAAACCUUUAAGAGUCAAAGGGAAGGAGGAGGUCUGUAUAGUUGAACCACUUAGCUGCAGUCAAUGCCAUAGAUUUUCAUUUGACCAGGCUUCACUUCAAGAUGGGCAAAUGAUUUAACUUCUUUUUGUAGCUUUCCUUUUGAAAAUAUCUAUCAUUGGCAAAGAUCGCCAACUUUUUUCCAGUUCUUAUUUAUAGAUUGGAUUCUAACGGGCUACAACCGUGCUUGUCUCGCAGAUUUGGCAUUGCUUGAUACAAUUAUGAUUCUGCUUUCUUCAAACAAAAGUCGAUAGUUUCCAAAUUCACUAUCAAAAACUGAUAGAUCACUGCAAUCCCAAGGCAACGCGUCCAUUCCAAAUUGAACAAGUAAAUGGCUCAGUAGGCCUGUUUUACGCUCACACUUAAUCCUAUUCUGUGAGAGUAUGUUCCACGGUGAAGGCACACAGUUUCGAUGGUCAUGGUAAUGAAUAAGCAUUUGCGAUAGACAAUGGUAGGAUGUGGGCAGUAGCAGUGAUGAAGAUCAUGGUAGCGUGCAAUCAACAAUGGCAACAAAAAGUGGCAACAAAUGAAAGUUGAUGUUAGAGUUGAUAGCCCUCAGCAACAGCCGCAGCAACAACAACAGCGACAAAAAAACCGGAUCUUGCUUGCAGUCUUUGAACAUCCAUCUGAUCCAAGGACAACAGAAAUCUUUACCAUUUGCUAUAUAUGAUGUCAUACCUAGCAAUGCCGAUCUUGGAAUGAUAC